rnacentral:rRNA from 1 species
UACGUAGGGGGCAAGCGUUGUCCGGAAUCAUUGGGCGUAAAGCGCGCGUAGGUGGCCUCAUAAGUCCGUUGUGAAAGUCAAAGGCUCAACCUUUGAAAGCCGAUGGAUACUGUGAGGCUAGAGUCCGGAAGAGGCGAGUGGAAUUCCUGGUGUAGCGGUGGAAUGCGCAGAUAUCAGGAGGAACACCAAUAGCGAAGGCAGCUCGCUGGGACGGUACUGACACUGAGGCGCGAAAGCGUGGGGAGCGAACAGG